rnacentral:rRNA from 1 species
UACAGAGGGGGCAAGCGUUAUUCGGAAUUAUUGGGCGUAAAGGGCGCGUAGGCGGCUUGGCAAGUGGAUGGUGAAAUCCCUCGGCUUAACCGAGGAACUGCCGUCCAAACUGCUUCGCUUGAGACCGGGAGAGGUGAGUGGAAUUCCCAGUGUAGCGGUGAAAUGCGUAGAUAUUGGGAGGAACACCAGUGGCGAAGGCGGCUCACUGGACCGGUACCGACGCUGAUGCGCGAAAGCGUGGGGAGCAAACGGG